GAAGUCGGAAUCCGCCAAGGAGUGUGUAACAACUCACCUGCCGAAUGAAUUAGCCCUGAAAAUGGAUGGCGCUUAAGCGGGCGGCCGACACCAUGCCGUCUGGGCAAGUUUCAGUUUCAGAUGAGUAGGAGGGCGUGGGGGCCGUGUCGAAGCAUGCGUGCAAACGCGUGUGGAACGGCCUCUAGUGCAGAUCUUGGUGGUAGUAGCAAGUAUUCAAGCGAGAUCCUUGAAGGGCGAAGCGGGGAAGGGUUCCACGCGAACAUUGAUUGGGCGUGGGUGAGUCGUUCCUAAGCCGAGUGGCGAUUGCUAAGUAGCGGCGAAAGGGAAGCGGGUUGAAAUUCCCGCACACGGAUGUGGAAGCGGUGACGCGACUGAUGGGGCGAACACGCUGGCGACGGCGCUGGGCAGAGUUGUCUUUUCUGUUUGACCAGUUUUGCGCGCGCGGUGUGGAAUCCGCUUGUCGGGAGAAACACGCGCGUGCGGGCAGAGCGCCGGGGCUUUUCCGGCGUCCAGCUCGCCGUCGACGGCCCUUGAAAAUUUGCCUGCUGAAUUUUAAAUCCACGCCGUGGCGUACCGAUCACCGCAUCAGGUCCCCAAGGUGAACAGCCUCUGCUCAGUAUGAAUAAUGCAGGUAAGGGAAGUCGGCAAAUUAGACCCGUAACUUUGGGAAAAGGGUUGGCUCUAGUGCUGCGUGGGAGUGGUUGCCGGGUGUUGGGCGCUUUUGCCUCCGGCGGCUUUUGGCGCGGGGCCCGCAAGGGACCUGUUCCAGGCUGCUGAGUGUGAGAGUGCCUCGCCCGGCGACGCCCACAGCAUGCAGCAGACUAGAACUGCAACGGGCAAAGGGAAUCCGACUGUUUAAUUAAAACAAAGCAUUGCGAGGGCCG
rnacentral:rRNA from 1 species